UACAGGGGGUGCAAACGUUGCUCGGAAUUAUUGGGCGUAAAGCGCGCGUAGGCGGCUACUUAAGUCGGAUGUGAAAGCCCUUGGCUCAACUGAGGAAGUGCACCCGAAACUGAGUAGCUGGAGUACGAAAGAGGGUCGCGGAAUUCCCGGUGUAGAGGUGAAAUUCGUAGAUAUCGGGAGGAACACCGGUGGCGAAGGCGGCGACCUGGGUCGAUACUGACGCUGAGGCGCGAAAGCGUGGGGAGCGAACAGG
rnacentral:rRNA from 1 species